UGAAGAACCCAUGCCUUCCUGACGAAUUAGACACACACUUCUCUAAUCAGAGGACUAAAAAGCAGGGAGAAGAAUAUGGGAAAACACUGAAAAAUACUGAGAGAUUUCUCGAGGACAAGGGUCUCACACAAAAGAUUAUAUUUUGUGAAAGCAAAUAUGAAAAAAGGUCUAAUGAGGAAGACAGAGGAAUGUAGCAAAAACGAAGGAAGAAAGGCUUCAGAGAGGAAAAGAAUUACCGAAUGCCAGAGGCUGGGAGGGAUCUCUGGAUAUCCAUCCCUGCUCCAUCCACCCUGCUCUAGUUGUGAAUUAUGAGGAAGAGCACUUAGUCCAUCCCAAAAAACUUCCAGCAUGAAGAGUCAGGACCUGAACUCUGACUUGCUUUGGGAUGUCCAGUGGCCUAUGUCUUAGUUGAGGCUUUCCAGCAAUCACAUUAUUUUCCUUAAAAUAUGUCAGAAGUCCAUGAUUAUGUGAGAGUACAGAAGAAAUGCCUAUAAAAAACAAACUGCAAGUGAGACAUGUAGGACCAUGCAAAAUGCUUAUUAUGACUCCAUUGUUAAUCAGUUCGUAAAUCUGAAUUUUGGAGGACAGUUUCUAGUUAAAAAUACAAAAUAGCUAAAUGCUUGUUCUACAGCAACUGUGGCACCUGACACCACUGGUGGACACUGGAUACCACAGGAAGGUUGUAUCAGACUCAUC
rnacentral:lncRNA from 1 species